AUGAAGGCGGGCUGGAAUCUCUCGGGGUUACAGCCUUGCUGAAUUAUUCACCCUUGUCUUUUGCGUACUUCUUGUUUCCUUGGUGGGUUCGCCCACCACUAGGACAAACAUAAACCUUUUGUAAUUGCAAUCAGCGUCAGUAACAAAUUAAUAAUUACAACUUUCAACAACGGAUCUCUUGGUUCUGGCAUCGAUGAAGAACGCAGCGAAAUGCGAUAAGUAGUGUGAAUUGCAGAAUUCAGUGAAUCAUCGAAUCUUUGAACGCACAUUGCGCCCUUUGGUAUUCCAAAGGGCAUGCCUGUUCGAGCGUCAUUUGUACCCUCAAGCUUUGCUUGGUGUUGGGCGUCUUGUCUCUAGCUUUGCUGGAGACUCGCCUUAAAGUAAUUGGCAGCCGGCCUACUGGUUUCGGAGCGCAGCACAAGUCGCACUCUCUAUCAGCAAAGGUCUAGCAUCCAUUAAGCCUUUUUCCCACUUUUGACCUCGGAUCAGGUAGGGAUACCCGCUGAACUUAAGCAUAUCAAUAAGCGGAGGAA
rnacentral:rRNA from 1 species